GUUCAAGACAAUCGGGGGGAAGAUAUUGGAGGAAUCAGGUGCAGAAAUAACUGAGGAAGGAUUAUUAAAAGCCAUUAUGAAAUUACAUCAAACGAUCUGUACAGAUGUUUGCAACUUCAACCUUCUUGAAAUGCCAAAACCUCCUAAUGCCUUCAGAGGAAUUCGCAUGAAAAAUUCUUCAUUGGAACGCUGGCUUUCAAUCUGCUCUGAUGAUUUGACGCCAAAUGGCAGGUACAGG
rnacentral:misc_RNA from 1 species